CGCCGCGUGAGCGAAGAAGGCCUUCGGGUCGUAAAGCUCUGUGAUAAGGGAAGAAGAAGUGACAGUACCUUAAGAGGAAGCCCCGGCUAACUACGUGCCAGCAGCCGCGGUA
rnacentral:rRNA from 1 species